UGAGACACGGACCAGACUCCUACGGGAGGCAGCAGUGAGGAAUAUUGCACAAUGGGGGAAACCCUGAUGCAGCAACGCCGCGUGGAGGAUGACGCAUUUCGGUGUGUAAACUCCUUUUAUGAGUCAAGAAAAUGACGGUAGCUCAUGAAUAAGCACCGGCUAACUCCGUGCCAGCAGCCGCGGUAAUACGGAGGGUSCAAGCGUUACUCGGAAUCACUGGGCGUAAAGGACGCGUAGGCGGGUUGGUAAGUCAGAUGUGAAAUCCUACAGCUCAACUGUAGAACUGCAUUCGAAACUACUAACCUAGAGUAUGGGGGGGGGAGAUGGAAUUAGUGGUGUAGGGGUAAAAUCCAUAGAUAUCACUAGGAAUACCUAAAGCGAAGGCGAUCUCCUGGAACAUUACUGACGCUAAGGCGUGAAAGCGUGGGGAGCAAACGGGAUUAGAUACCCCGGUAGUCCACGCCCUAAACGAUGAACACUAGUCGUCGGGAUGCUUGUCAUCUCGGUGAUGCACUUAACAGAUUAAGUGUUCCGCCUGGGGAGUACGGUCGCAAGAUUAAAACUCAAAGGAAUAGACGGGGACCCGCACAAGUGGUGGAGCAUGUGGUUUAAUUCGAAGAUACGCGAAGAACCUUACCUAGCCUUGACAUUGAUAGAACACACCAGAGAUGGAGUGGUGCCCUUCGGGGAACUUGAAAACAGGUGCUGCACGGCUGUCGUCAGCUCGUGUCGUGAGAUGUUGGGUUAAGUCCCGCAACGAGCGCAACCCUCGUCCUUAGUUGCCAGCAGGUUAAGCUGGGCACUCUAGGGAGACUGCCUUCGCAAGGAGGAGGAAGGUGAGGACGACGUCAAGUCAUCAUGGCCCUUAUGGCUAGGGCUACACACGUGCUACAAUGGGGCGUACAGAGAGUUGCAAUACCGCGAGGUGGAGCCAAUCUCACAAAGCGUCUCUCAGUUCGGAUUGAAGUCUGCAACUCGACUUCAUGAAGCUGGAAUCACUAGUAAUCGUAGAUCAGCAAUGCUACGGUGAAUACGUUCCCGGGUCUUGUACUCACCGCCCGUCACGCCAUGGGAGUUGAUUUCACCCGAAAUUGGGAAGCUAACCUUCGGGAGGCUACCACUUACGGUGGAAUUAGCGACUGGGGUGAAGUCGUAACAAGGUAACC
rnacentral:rRNA from 1 species